GACGAACGCUGGCGGCGUGCUUAACACAUGCAAGUCGAACGGAAAGGCCCUGCUUUUGUGGGGUGCUCGAGUGGCGAACGGGUGAGUAACACGUGAGUAACCUGCCCUUGACUUUGGGAUAACUUCAGGAAACUGGGGCUAAUACCGGAUAGGAGCUCCUGCUGCAUGGUGGGGGUUGGAAAGUUUCGGCGGUUGGGGAUGGACUCGCGGCUUAUCAGCUUGUUGGUGGGGUAGUGGCUUACCAAGGCUUUGACGGGUAGCCGGCCUGAGAGGGUGACCGGCCCCAUUGGGACUGAGAUACGGCCCAGAAUCCUACGGGAGGCAGCAGGGGGGAAUAUUGCACAAUGGGCGGAAGCCUGAUGCAGCAACGCCGCGUGCGGGAUGACGGCCUUCGGGUUGUAAACCGCUUUCGCCUGUGACGAAGCGUGAGUGACGGUAAUGGGUAAAGAAGCACCGGCUAACUACGUG
rnacentral:rRNA from 1 species